rnacentral:rRNA from 1 species
GGCUUUGGAAACUGUUUAACUUGAGUGCAGAAGGGGAGAAUGGAAUUCCAUGUGUAGCGGUGAAAUGCGUAGAUAUAUGGAGGAACACCGGUGGCGAAAGCGGCUCUCUGGUCUGUAACUGACGCUGAGGCUCGAAAGCGUGGGGAGCGAACAGGAUUAGAUACCCUGGUAGUCCACGCCGUAAACGAUGAGUGCUAGGUGUUAGGUCCUUUCCGGGACUCAGUGCCGUAGCUAACGCAUUAAGCACUCCGCCUGGGGAGUACGACCGCAAGGUUGAAACUCAAAGGAAUUGACGGGGGCCCGCACAAGCGGUGGAGCAUGUGGUUUAAUUCGAAGCAACGCGAAGAACCUUACCAGGUCUUGACAUCCCGAUGCUAUUUCUAGAGAUAGGAAGUUUCUUCGGAACAUCGGUGACAGGUGGUGCAUGGUUGUCGUCAGCUCGUGUCGUGAGAUGUUGGGUUAAGUCCCGCAACGAGCGCAACCCUUAUUGUUAGUUGCCAUCAUUGAGUUGGGCACUCUAGCGAGACUGCCGGUAAUAAACCGGAGGAAGGUGGGGAUGACGUCAAAUCAUCAUGCCCCUUAUGACCUGGGCUACACACGUGCUACAAUGGCUGGUACAACGAGUCGCAAGCCGGUGACGGCAAGCUAAUCUCUGAAAGCCAGUCUCAGUUCGGAUUGUAGGCUGCAACUCGCCUACAUGAAGUCGGAAUCGCUAGUAAUCGCGGAUCAGCACGCCGCGGUGAAUACGUUCCCGGGCCUUGUACACACCGCCCGUCACACCACGAGAGUUUGUAACACCCG